rnacentral:rRNA from 1 species
AUGGCCGGCUGGUUGGACGAGGGGUCCUCCUCCUCCUCCUCCUCCAUCUCCUCCUCGUCGUCGUCUAAGCGGCGGCGGCGGGAUUGUGACUGCGACUGCGCUGAGAGUAGGAGGCCGCGGCGGAAGCAGCACCUCUAUCUGGCGCUGGACGACUGGGACGGCGGGUACAGCAUCCACAAGCUCGACGCCGACGACAUCUUGGACGACGAUUUUGGAGGAGUGCGCAAGCUUCCCGAGCCCGCCGCCAUCCGGAUCAGGUGGCCGGUGCGCGGUCCCAUGCACUUCGCCGCUCUGGGCACCGACAUCUUCUUCGCCGCCGGCCCGCGUUUCCACGGUGACGACGCCCCACCCGCAACCUUCGUCUACGAAACGCAGGCCGCCGCCCUCGCCGUGGGCCCGCCCCUUCCGACCGGGCUCUAUAGCCUGGGGGCCGCCAUGGCCGCCGGUCGGAAGCUCUACGCCCUAACAAGCCCCUACCAUCCCGAGGCGCCCUGCCUGCAGGCCCUGUCGUGGGACCUCGCCGCCAGAGGAGACCGGGCGGACUGGUUCUGGAACGCCGCACCGUCGUCAUCGCCGCCGCCGCCGUGCUGCGGGAUGGACGUCGUCGCCCACGCGCUGCACCCGGACGGGCGGACCCUCUUCGUGUCCACCGACUCCGCCACCCACUCCCUCGACACCAGCGACGGCGCGUGGAGGGAGCUCGGGGACUGGGUGCUGCCCUUCAAGGGCCAGGCCUACUUCGACGCCGGCCUGGACGCGUGGGUCGGGAUCCACCGCAAGGGGGACGGGCACGUCUGCUGCUGCCCCGUCGCCUCCCGCAGCGCCGCCGCCGGACGGCCGCCGGAGUGCAGGGUGUUGAAGGGGAAGCUGUUCCUCCGUAACGGCGAGAAGACGUACCAGAACGGCGGCCGGCACCUCAAGGCCACCCUCACCUGCAUGGGCCGCGGCAGGUUCUGCCUCGUCGAGAACGUCCUGCGCGUCGCAAGGAUGGUUGGGGACAGCGUGCUCCGUGUCACCUUGUUUAGCCGCAAGUAUGAUCACAUGGGAGAGCUCCGGACCAAGGUUCGCCCCCGCAUUAGGUCCUAUGCAGUGUCCAAGAAUAACCACAUGUUUUCUCAUGCAGCAUUUUGA